CCGACAGCAUGGAAGGACUGAGGGUCCACCGACUUCACGGAAGGACUGAGGGUCCACCGACAGCAUGGAAGGACUGAGGGUCCACCGACAGCAUGGAAGGACUGAGGGUCCACCGACUUCAUCGAAGGAUGAAGGUCCACCAACUUCACGGAAGCACUGAGGGUCCACCGACAGCAUGGAAGGACUGAGGGUCCACCGACUUCACGGAAGGACUGAGGGUCCACCGACUUCACGGAAGGACUGAGGGUCCACCGACAGCAUGGAAGGACUGAGGGUCCACCGACUUCACGGAAGGACUGAGGGUCCACCGACUUCACGGAAGGACUGAGGGUCCACUGACUUCACGGAAGGACUGAGGGUCCACCGACACCUUGGAUGGCCGAGGGUCCACUAACAGCAUGGUGAAGAGAGGCGCACCUAGGUGUUUAGCAGUCUAUGAUGACCAUCGGACAUUAGGGGGCUUGCAUCGUAUUUGGUCAGGAACAGGGCGAUGACAGCACAGCCACACCUUUGACCAGCCGUGGCAGGCCACCAGACAGCACCGGCAAAUAGAAUGUGGUUUGGGUUUUCCUCUGACCGACAGCUGAAGACUUUAAGGAACCAAAUUAAGUUGUUUAAACUCCAGAGCUAAGUCUUGGAAGAAAACUGAGUCCGAGUGAUCCUUUUACAAAAAUCUGGAUGUGAGCCCGACCUUCCAUUCAGGUUCCACUGACCAGGAAGGACCAUGAAAACCUCACAUAGGCUCUGCUCCACACAUGACACUGGAUAGGUGCAGGCCCUGUGUCACAGGUUGCGCACAGUGAGGUCAAGAAACAGCAGGGGCAAACAGUGCUGCCUGUUGGACACCUGGGAGCAAAUCACAAAUAACAGGACAGGGAGCAUAGAGGAGAGUCCACCACUGUGCUAGUUUAUGUGUCAACUUGAUUAGGCCAUAAACACUGAUCCAGAUGUUUCUCUGAAGGUGUUUUGUAAAUGUGGUUAACAAUUACAAUCAAGUACCUUAAAUAAAGGGGAUUAUUCUCAGUAAUGUAGGUAGGCCUCACCUAUUUAGUUGAAAGACUUUAAGAACAAAGUAGGCUUUUCUGAGGAAAAAGAAAUUCUGUUUCAAGGCUACAGCAUCAGCUUCUGUCUGGGUGUUUCCAGCCUGUUGACCUUCUGUGUGUCAGACUGGCGGAGCAUGUAAGCCAAUUCCUACCAAUAUGCGUGUAUGUACUUAAUACAGUAUAUGUGUUCAUGGAUUUAAUCUCCUACUGGUUCUGUUUUCUUCCAGACUGUUUUUCUGACUUACACAAUCACUAAAGAAAAGACUGAAAGUCUGAAAUUUGGAGUUGGAACUGUCAAAAAAGAAUACGCUGGAGAAGAACAAGGUGAAACCAUACCUUGCUGUGGACCUGGC
rnacentral:lncRNA from 1 species